rnacentral:lncRNA from 7 species
GCAUCAUUCUCUUCUCUAUUAACGAUUACAUUUUCCUUUACUUUGAUUAAAACAAAUGAAUGAAUACAUUUUUAAUUAUGAUGUCAUCUCAUUUGUUUCUAAUCAUGUCCAAUCUGAAAGGAACCAUUUCUCCAAAUGCUUAUGUAAAAAUGUUUAGCCAUUUCUGGUAAAAAAAGGAUAGUCAAAAUGGUAUCACUUCAUACUGGAUCACGGUACAACUAUAAGCUGUGGGGCUAUCUGGCACCGAUUUUUUUUAAUGGUACACGCUUUAUGAUCUCAUCAAUAUUCCUAGAAAUCACAGAAGCACUUGCUUAGUUAAAUAUGAUUUGUGCAUGCUCCUAGGCCUGCAUCUCGUAAAGCUACAUGUGUACGGUCAGAUACUUGUCUAUUUGGGAUUGGCUAGUCUUUUAAUUUAAUCGCCUUUGAUCUUUACUUCCAUUUAUUUUUUUCUGCAGUUCUUUACUUUGCGUGCUGAAAAAG